rnacentral:misc_RNA from 1 species
AGCUGCUCCUGCUGCAGGGAAUUUCUGAGAAUGAGUUGCCCAGAGUUCUUGAACAGGUGAUUGUCGUGAAGGCGCAAUUCUGUCAUUUGCUGAAGUUGAUGUGGAUCUGGGUGGAACAGGUCUGUCAACUGCUGUAGUUGAAGUAGGUCUAUUUCGAGGACCUGUCUUCAGGCAAAUUAAGGGGAGGAUUUUAGAUGAGGUAGCAUGGGCAGGCUGUGGACUUGUUGGCCUAGGG